rnacentral:misc_RNA from 1 species
UCACUUCUUGCGAAGGCAGUCUCUCUAGAGUCCCCGCCAUUACGCGCUGGCAACACAGGACAAGGGUUGCGCUCGUUGCGGGACUUAACCCAACACCUCACGGCACGAGCUGACGACAGCCAUGCAGCAUCUGUGCACGCUCCCUUGCGGGUCCUCAGUGUUUCCACCUCGUACCACGUGCAUGUCAAGCCCAGGUAAGGUUCUGCGCGUUGCAUCGAAUUAAACCACACGCUCCGCUGCUUGUGCGGGCCCCCGUCAAUUUCUUUGAGUUUUAACCUUGCGGCCGUACUCCCCAGGCGGAUGACUUAAUGCGUUAGCUGCGCCACCGAAACCCUAAGGGCCCCGACAGCUAGUCAUCAUCGUUUACGGCGUGGACUAC